rnacentral:rRNA from 1 species
UGCGGAGGAGGCAAGCGUUAUCCGGAAUAAUUGGGCGUAAAGCGUCCGCAGGUGGCACUUCAAGUCUGUCGUCAAAGACUGGGGCUUAACCCUGGAAAGGCGGUGGAAACUGAAGCGCUAGAGUGCGGUAGGGGUAGAGGGAAUUCCCGGUGUAGCGGUGAAAUGCGUAGAGAUCGGGAAGAACAUCGGUGGCGAAAGCGCUCUACUGGACCGCAACUGACACUCAGGGACGAAAGCUAGGGGAGCGAAUGGG